CCUACGGGAGGCAGCAGUGAGGAAUAUUGGUCAAUGAGCGCAAGCUUGAACCAGCCACGUCGCGUGCAGGAUGACUGUCCUAUGGAUUGUAAACUGCUUUUUCACAGGAAUAAUUAUAUCUACGCGUUAGGUAUUUGCAAGUACUGUGCGAAUAAGGAUCGGCUAACUCCGUGCCAGCAGCCGCGGUAAUACGGAGGAUCCGAGCGUUAUCCGGAUUUAUUGGGUUUAAAGGGUACGUAGGCGGGCUAUGUAAGUCAGCGGUGAAAUUUUGCAGCUUAACUGUAAGCGUGCCGUUGAAACUGCUAGUCUUGAGUGUAGAUAAGGUAGGCGGAAUGUGUUGUGUAGCGGUGAAAUGCAUAGAUAUGACACAGAACCCCGAUUGCGAAGGCAGCUUACCGGGUUACCACUGACGCUGAGAGUACGAAAGCGUGGGGAUCAAACAGGAUUAGAUACCCGGGUAGUC
rnacentral:rRNA from 1 species